GGGUCAAUGAUGACAACCCAAUGUCAUAAAGAAAGUCGAUAAUAUCAAAAUAAUCCUCUAGGUAUAUGCUGAGGCCC